rnacentral:rRNA from 1 species
UACGUAGGGUGCAAGCGUUUGUCCGGAAUUAUUGGGCGUAAAGAGCUCGUAGGCGGUCUGUCGCGUCUGCUGUGAAAACCUGGGGCUUAACCCCGGGCCUGCAGUGGGUACGGGCAGACUAGAGUGUGGUAGGGGAGACUGGAAUUCCUGGUGUAGCGGUGAAAUGCGCAGAUAUCAGGAGGAACACCGGUGGCGAAGGCGGGUCUCUGGGCCAUAACUGACGCUGAGGAGCGAAAGCGUGGGGAGCGAACAGG